rfam:Picea glauca, whole genome shotgun sequence.
GCUGGAAUAGCUCAGUGGGUUAGAGCUUGUGGCUGUUAACCACAAGGUCGGAGCUUCAAGCCCUCCUUCUAGCG